UACGAAGGGUGCAAGCGUUAAUCGGAAUUACUGGGCGUAAAGGGUGCGUAGGCGGUUCGUUAAGUCUGUUGUGAAAUCCCCGGGCUCAACCUGGGAAUGGCAAUGGAUACUGGCGAGCUAGAGUGUGAUGGAGGAUGGUGGAAUUCCCGGUGUAGCGGUGAAAUGCGUAGAGAUCGGGAGGAACAUCAGUGGCGAAGGCGGCCAUCUGGAUCAACACUGACGCUGAAGCACGAAAGCGUGGGGAGCAAACAGG
rnacentral:rRNA from 1 species